AUUCAACCGUGCGUACCUUCUACCAUUUCACUAUAGCCGUAUCUCCCACUGUUAACACAAACUCAUCCUGAAUCAAAUGAUAGCACCAUGAGUUUGAUUUGAAUACUGCUUCAGCCUAUCAGUUGAAGAUGAAGUUUAUUCAUUCUGCGGAAAUAUCUACCAUGCGACUGCAAUUUGACUUGUCUGUUGUGAGAAAUAUUUUUUUUUAACAACCGUAAUUUCCUUGGUUAAAUGAGGUUAUUCAGUAUCUUCCUCCUCUUGAAGAUAUUGCAACAGCAAAAAUCAACUCCAAUGAAAGUACUAUUGAGGUUGAUACUUUUGCAAACAUUCAAGAUUCUAAACAAAUUCGGAUUCUAGAAACAACUCUAAUUAAUGGUCCCCGUUGAUUGUGAAGCAAAUGAUGAAUGACUUUUCAAACAUGAAAUAAAUAAGGGUGAAAUGAAAUAAAUAAAAAACAUAUUCAGUUACAAUUUUUUUUUCUAUUUCAAGACUCUUGACAUGUGUUAUGUUAGCCAUUGCAUGUGAAACAAAUGAUGAAUAGAUUUUC